UUUUUUGGGUAAACUUAAAAACCAUCCCUGUGGUUUUGCAUUUUCUCACUUUAGUACUAUGUGGUUUAAAGUGUAUCAAGCUAGUGCCAUGUGGUUUCAUUUUUAUCUUUUCGUCAGCUUCUUCAUUAAUAUUUCGUUAAAUUGUAUACCAAAAACUUUAGAUAUCCACCGAGGUUUAUCGAAUAUUCACUUUAGUACCUUUUAGUUUUAACUUUGUCACUGAUUUAACAAAAAAAUUAGUGGAAAUUGAUAAUAAAAAGAUACAAAUAAAACCAUAGGAUACUAAAUUGAUACACUUUAAACCAUAGGAUACUAAAAUGAGAAAGUGUGAAACCACAGGGGUGGUAUUUGAAGUUUUUUUUCUUUUUGGUUAAUUGCAUACACGUCCCUGCAAACAUGGUGAAUUACAAAUAUAUCCCUGCAAAGCUCAACUUUCAUAAGUUGUCCUUAUAAAAGUCCGAAUUAUUCAGAUAUGUCCCUUUGGUUAGGAUCCGUUAGAGAACUGUUAAUUUUUUAACAAUAUGCUCGUGAAAUGACAAUUUUGCCUUCACAAAUAUGUCCCUCCAAAAGCACAUUUGCAAAAAUGUCCUCUCAAUUUUUACCCUCUUCCUCUUUCUCUUCCUCUUCGGGCUGUGGGAGUGGACGACAGUGGUGGCGGAUCGACGACGACGACAAAGAAGAAGAACGAGGAGAAGAGAAGGAUAUGAAAAAGUAAAAGAAGAAGGCGGUGGAGGCCGUUGUCAGCCGGCGGCGUCACCGGGGAU
rnacentral:lncRNA from 1 species